rnacentral:rRNA from 1 species
UGGGGAAUAUUGCACAAUGGGCGCAAGCCUGAUGCAGCCAUGCCGCGUGUGUGAAGAAGGCCUCGGGUUGUAAAGCACUUUCAGCGAGGAGGAAGGUGGUGAGCUUAAUACGCUCAUCAAUUGACGUUACUCGCAGAAGAAGCACCGGCUAACUCCGUGCCAGCAGCCGCGGUAAUACGGAGGGUGCAAGCGUUAAUCGGAAUUACUGGGCGUAAAGCGCACGCAGGCGGUUUGUUAAGUCAGAUGUGAAAUCCCCCGGGCUCAACCUGGGAACUGCAUUUGAAACUGGCAAGCUAGAGUCUCGUAGAGGGGGGUAGAAUUCCAGGUGUAGCGGUGAAAUGCGUAGAGAUCUGGAGGAAUACCGGUGGCGAAGGCCGGCCCCCCUGGACGAAGACUGACGCUCAGGUGCGAAAAGGCGUGGGGGAGCAAAACAGGAUUAGAUACCCUGGUAGUCCACGCUGU